GUCCACGGCCAUACCACCCUGAAUGUGCCCGAUCUCAUCUGAUCUCAGAAGCUAAGCAGGGUCAGGCCUGGUUAGUACUUGGAUGGGAGAAAACAAUCACAUGUAUA
rnacentral:rRNA from 1 species